UAGCUCAGUAGGUAGAGCAACUGACUUGUAAUCAGUAGGUCACCAGUUCGAUUCCGG
rnacentral:tRNA from 5 species